UACGUAGGGUGCGAGCGUUAAUCGGAAUUACUGGGCGUAAAGUGUGCGUAGGCGGCUUCGCAAGUCGAGUGUGAAAUCCCCGAGCUUAACUUGGGAAUUGCGCUCGAAACUACGGAGCUAGAGUGUGGCAGAGGAAGGUGGAAUUCCACGUGUAGCGGUGAAAUGCGUAGAUAUGUGGAGGAACACCGAUGGCGAAGGCAGCCUUCUGGGCCAACACUGACGCUCAUGCACGAAAGCGUGGGGAGCAAACGGG
rnacentral:rRNA from 1 species